UAAUAUUAUAUAUUGUAAUAAAUCAUAAAAUAAUGUAUAUUUAUAAAUUUACAACAAAUUUUUUUAUAAAAACGGCUAAAUUUCCCCACUUUGUUACACUAAAUAAACGUGUUGCUACCGGUAUUAAUUUCCUAGUCCCUUUUUAUCUACUUCCUAUGACACAUUUUUUAAGCAUAUAUUUUAAACAUAAAGCGCAUUUUUAAAUAGUAAAUUUAAAAGUGGGCUUUAUUUAGUACUGGGCCUUAUUCGUCUCAAAUACCUUACAAUAUCUGCGAAUAUAACGAUACUAAUACUGUCGUUAAGAGUUCUAAAAUUGCUAGACUCUCGUAUCGUGAUCAUGAUAAUAGGAUCAUGAUAUUAGGUUACGUUCAUAAACAGAUUAUGAUUUAAAAAACGAUAGUAAACGCACAAUGUAUGAAACCGAUAUGUGUACUAAAUCCGUAUACCAUACGCAAGCCGACGAAGUCGCAAGAGCAAACCAAAAUUAUCUCUACUGCUGCGUCAAGAUAAUAAUUGCUUUGAACUCCUACAAAAGAGAAUAGUCGGUCGGAUCCUGAUUUAAUUUUUCAUUACUUACUCAAUAUGUCUUCAAAAAUAUUCCUUAAAAUUAGAAACAUGCUAAAAAUAUGCAUAUUGUUUUUCUGAUACUACAUCAUCUCUACAAGUUUGUUAUAAUUUGUUUCUAUUAUAAGUUAUUUGUUCGUAUUAAAUCUUGCAAGGUUAAUAAAUAACUGUUCUGUACUGUGGAUGGAGAUAUACAUCUUGACAUUCAACGUUAUAAGAACUUGGGUUUACUACGAUGAUAAAUUUGUGUAAUAAUAGAGUUUCCCCAACGCCAAACAGCAUCUAAUACCGGAUAUUAGCUAUAUCUGUGACAGUUGAAUUGCUGCCGCGCAUUAUUUUACGUAAGCCGAAGAGACGACAAUAGAACAAUUAGAUUUCAAGACGUUCUAGUCGCGUGUACCCUAAGAAGAUCGGUUGAACGUUGAGUUUGAUUGGAAGCUACGGUGCAUUGUAUAAAAUUAUGAGUUAUUAUAUCUACCAAUUUGUGUGGUCUAAAGACAUGAGUUGCGUUAUUAUACCCUGUCGAGAAUUUAAAUAUUAAUAGUUAAAUAAGUAUUUUUUUAAAUAAUAUUUAUAUUUUGUGUACACAAUGCAUUGGUUAAAAAAAAUUUAAUAGUUUCAUUGUCCCCUAGUUUCGGACAAAACAAUUUCCCCUAUUGCCGAACAGUACAAAUAUAAAUCUUGCGUUUCCAUUUGUACGGGUAUUUAUUAUUCAAGUUUCAAUACUUAAAAAGAUACACCUAAGCAACAUAAAUACGAGUAAAAAGAAAAAUUCGUGGAAUAAAAAUAAUUUACAAACUGCACUUCUGAAAAUUCUGACAAAAGAAGUUAGCCUAAAAGAGAUCAAAAUAUGGUAUUGUAAGAAGCACUUUAACAAAGAAAAAUGUAUAAAAUCUGGUCUAAAAAAUACUUUGCAGUCUAUACUAGGUAAUUCACCAAAACUUUCCCCCUCCAGAAUACAAAGAACAAUUAGUAAAGCAUGUAAUCACUUGACUAAUCGUUGUUUGACAUCAAUAAAAAAAGAAUUUUUUAAAUUGGCUUGUGAUUUAGCGAUAGAACUACAGCUUUCUUAUCGUUCCAACACAAAAAAAAGAAUAGCAGGCAAACAUUUUUUAUUUUUAUGGUUAGAAACACUGAUCUUUCAUUAAGAAUACCUGAGUCUAAGUUUAAUGCAAACUGUGGAUUCUAAUAAGCCGCAAGCUCAAAAUUAUUUUUAUAAUCUCAUCAAACAGUAUAAUUUCUCUGCUUCUAGCAUAUUCAAUGUAAAUUAUAUUAAAACUGUUAUAAAUUAUAUUAGUAAGUCUUAUUGUGUCCCGUACUAGGUGCCACUUAACGAUUUCUUAAAAUUGUAUACCAAAGUUUAACGUUAAUUUAACUAUUAAUAUUCAAAUUCUCGACAGGGAAAAAUCUUGGACUAAAAAACUCAUUUCCGAGACAUUACAUAUAAAGCGAUAACCACAACGGUUUAAUUUAUACACAAAUACGCAACUCUUAGAUGUCACCUACAAUAUAAUACUCGACAAAAUAAAAAAAUAACUAAUUCCUCUACCUCUAUUUUCUGUUUUCUAUUUAAAAUUUUUUUUCUAUUUCUACUUCUAUUUGCGUUCGGUUGUUUCUUCGUAUCUUUCAACUUCUUAUUUACUUUCUUGCUCUUCUUUCUCCUUCACUUCCAUCCCCUUUUUAGCUAUCUUCCUUCCCACUCUCCUUUUUUCCUAUUUCUCCUUCUAUAUGCCUUUUACAAGUAAAACUGUUAUACUUCAUCAACGACAAACGGUGCUCACAGUUAUAAUAUACCACGGAUAAAUAUCUGUUAACAAACUUGUGCUCUAUUUAAAUCUAACUGUAAGUUUAUUGUAACACAUUUUAUAUUAAUUUAUGUUAAUUUAUUCGGACUAAUUAACUAAUUUUAUAUAAUUGAUAAUAUAUACGCUUUAAGAUCAACAGCACUUCUGGCCUAAUUAACUCGCCGCCGUAAUAAAAAGAUUUAGCAUAUACGUUGAUUAUAUUCAACACACCUUUAAACAUACUUAACGAUUUGGAAGGUUGAUCCAUAAUAGAAGAGAUGCACUAAAGAAAACUCAAAUUGUAAGUUGAAACGUUUGCGUACUUAUGUAAAAUUAAGGGGGAAACGUCUUUUAUCGGGUCAAAAAAAUCGAUAUUUUGGAAAUAGUCUUAAUCGAUUGUUAAACUAUUCAAGAAUAUUCCCUGAAAAUUUCAAGUCAAUAUCUGCAGUAUCUACGAAGUUAAAGCGGACGGGUCGGGUGACGAGGCCUAGCGACCCUCGGGCGGUCGCGUUUAUAUCUGCGUUCUCGGAGCGUGUUUAUAUCUGCGUUCGAAAAGUCCGUCCGAUCUUCGACGAUCUUUCGAAUGACAGUCUUUUGGAAAGAUGUUUAGGCGGUUACACAAAGAAUGCAAAUAAAAGUUUCAAUUCUACCGUUUGGCGUUUAUCGCCUAAACACAUUCACAGUGGAGCAAAAAUCGUCUGCAUUGCUGCGUAUAUUGCUACAUCGAUAUUUAACAAAGGCUACAAUGCAGUGUUAAUGAUAAUAAACAAAUUGGAUAUCGAAAUUGAGAUCCAGGCACACAAUUUUGCCAUAACGAAAGACGAGAAGCGAAUAAACAGACAGAACCGCCGAAGCUAUAGUAGCUCAAAAGAGGCAAGAACGGCUCGUAGGAUGGAGAUGAUGGUUCAAAACGAGUUCUACGAGGAAGCGGAGAGACUACUUUAUGCAGAUGGAAUCGCUGAUUAGCGUAAGACUGACAUCAAAAUUAAGGACGCUACAGUGUACACAGCGGAGACACUCCAUAAGCAAAACGAUAUUAAUAUAGCGCUCGUUUUUAUAGUAAACUUUUUUUUUAUUCCUGUGUACUCUUCGAUUGUGUAUUAAAUCAUAAAAAUUUCAAAA